rnacentral:sRNA from 1 species
AUUCUUCUUCGCUCUUU